rfam:Bacillus alcalophilus ATCC 27647 = CGMCC 1.3604 strain AV1934 contig00012, whole genome shotgun sequence.
UGACAGCGAUGAUGCGGAAGGUUGCUGACACACCAGGCUCCUUUGCCAUGGCACGGUGUAGGAAAUUUUCGCGGAGUAUGUCUGUUUAUAAAAAUGGACGA